rnacentral:rRNA from 1 species
UACAGAGGUCCCAAGCGUUGUUCGGAUUCACUGGGCGUAAAGGGUGCGUAGGCGGUCGGGUAAGUCUGAUGUGAAAUCUCACAGCUUAACUGUGAAACUGCAUUGGAUACUAUCCGGCUCGAGGAAUGGAGGGGAGACUGGAAUACUUGGUGUAGCAGUGAAAUGCGUAGAUAUCAAGUGGAACACCAGUGGCGAAGGCGAGUCUCUGGACACUUCCUGACACUGAGGCACGAAAGCUAGGGGAGCAAACAGG